GUGGAUACCUGGGGUGGGGUCAGGGGUCCAGACUGGAAGUGAGGAAUCAGAAAAAGCAUCUCCCAGGAAGAAGACAAGAUGGCUGGAUGCAGAGAAAGGGCCAGAGGUCCAGCAUGAGGCCAGAGAGCAACAACUCAACAACCUUUGACUGAGGACAGACUGUUACGUUGGGCUGGACAAUGUGUGUUGAGAUAUAGCUACCACUUCCAGGAGAGUGAAGCAGUGGACACAAAACAUUGGAAGUCGGAGGCACCCCUGUUGUGCAGAAACAAGGAAUUCCACCUCUCCUAACUCCCUGCUGCAAAACAGAGGCUGAGUCUGAACAUAGCCUAACCCAGAACAAGUUCAUGGAACAGUGCUCUUAUUUCAUGAGCAGCCUGGACAUUUGAACGAUCUCAUCAGUCAAGGCCCAACAGGAGACCAACAGCACCUGUAAUUGCAGCUUUAAUUGCGAUAGUAACUGAGGAA